rnacentral:rRNA from 1 species
AUACGGAGGGGGUUAGCGUUGUUCGGAAUUACUGGGCGUAAAGCGUACGUAGGCGGAUCGGAAAGUAAGGGGUGAAAUCCCAGGGCUCAACCCUGGAACUGCCUCUUAAACUCCCGGUCUUGAGUUCGAGAGAGGUGAGUGGAAUUCCUAGUGUAGAGGUGAAAUUCGUAGAUAUUAGGAGGAAUACCAGUGGCGAAGGCGGCUCACUGGCUCGAUACUGACGCUGAGGUACGAAAGUGUGGGGAGCAAACAGGAUUAGAAACCCCAGUAGUCC